UACGUAGGGGGCAAGCGUUGUCCGGAUUUAUUGGGCGUAAAGGGUGCGUGGGCGGCGCGGUAAGUCGGGUGUGAAAUCUCGGGGCUUAACUCCGAAACUGCAUUCGAUACUGCCGUGCUUGAGGACUGGAGAGGAGACUGGAAUUUACGGUGUAGCGGUGAAAUGCGUAGAUAUCGUAAGGAAGACCAGUGGCGAAGGCGGGUCUCUGGACAGUACCUGACGCUGAGGCACGAAGGCCAGGGGAGCAAACGGG
rnacentral:rRNA from 1 species